UACGUAGGGUGCGAGCGUUAAUCGGAAUUACUGGGCGUAAAGUGUGCGCAGGCGGCGCCGCAAGUCAGGCGUGAAAUCCCCGAGCUUAACUUGGGAAUGGCGCUUGAAACUACGGUGCUGGAGUGUGGCAGAGGGAGGUGGAAUUCCACGUGUAGCGGUGAAAUGCGUAGAGAUGUGGAGGAACACCGAUGGCGAAGGCAGCCUCCUGGGCCAACACUGACGCUCAUGCACGAAAGCGUGGGGAGCAAACAGG
rnacentral:rRNA from 1 species